UAGUAAUCACCUUAGCAAGCUCAGCAUUCAUACACUUACCAUUUCAUUCACUUCACAUAUCAAAGCAAUGGUAUCAAGCAACCAGAUUCUUCAACAAAACCCAACUACCAAUAUAAGAAAAAACAAACCAAAUGAAUGGAAUUGAUGGUGUACACAUACCUAACAUGGAUGAAAAACAAUAUUCCCUCAAAUUUGCUAACCCUAAUCUCUCACAUUGCUACAAAACAUGAUGAAUCUAUUAUUAAAGAUAAGCAAAGGAAAUAAUGACGAUUAAACAAAC